rnacentral:rRNA from 1 species
AAUGGACGCUGGCGGCAGGCCUAACACAUGCAAGUCGAGCGGGGUUUUCGGACCUAGCGGCGGACGGGUGAGUAAUGCGUAGGAAGCUACCCGAUAGAGGGGGAUACCAGUUGGAAACGACUGUUAAUACCGCAUAAUGUCUACGGACCAAAGUGUGGGACCUUCGGGCCACAUGCUAUCGGAUGCGCCUACGUGGGAUUAGCUAGUUGGUGGGGUAAUGGCUCACCAAGGCGACGAUCCCUAGCUGGUUUGAGAGGAUGAUCAGCCACACUGGAACUGAGACACGGUCCAGACUCCUACGGGAGGCAGCAGUGGGGAAUAUUGGACAAUGGGCGCAAGCCUGAUCCAGCCAUGCCGCGUGUGUGAAGAAGGCCUUCGGGUUGUAAAGCACUUUCAGUAGGGAGGAAGGGUGUUGUGUUAAUAGCACAGCAUUUUGACGUUACCUACAGAAGAAGCACCGGCUAACUCUGUGCCAGCCGCCGCCGUAAUAC